AGUGGUGUUGUAUUGUAGGUACAGUAUGUAGUGGUGUUGUAUUGUAGGUACAGUAUGUAGUGGUGUUGUAUUGUAGGUACAGUAUGUAGUGGUGUUGUAUUGUAGGUACAGUAUGUAGUGGUGUUGUAUUGUAGGUACAGUAUGUAGUGGUGUUGUAUUGUAGGUACAGUAUGUAGUGGUGUUGUAUUGUAGGUACAGUAUGUAGUGGUGUUGUAUUGUAGGUACAGUAUGUAGUGGUGUUGUAUUGUAGGUACAGUAUGUAGUGGUGUUGUAGGUACAGUAUGUAGUGGUGUUGUAUUGUAGGUACAGUAUGUAGUGGUGUUGUAUUGUAGGUACAGUAUGUAGUGGUGUUGUAUUGUAGGUACAGUAUGUAGUGGUGUGUUGUAUUGUAGGUACAGUAUGUAGUGGUGUGUUGUAUUGUAGGUACAGUAUGUAGUGGUGUGUUGUAUUGUAGGUACAGUAUGUAGUGGUGUGUUGUAUUGUAGGUACAGUAUGUAGUGGUGUGUUGUAUUGUAGGUACAGUAUGUAGUGGUGUGUUGUAUUGUAGGUACAGUAUGUAGUGGUGUGUUGUAUUGUAGGUACAGUAUGUAGUGGUGUGUUGUAUUGUAGGUACAGUAUGUAGUGGUG